GGAGAAUCCGUUUUGUUUGUUUGGAAGGUUAUGGGGCACCAAAGCAUUAUGAGAGUUCACUCUCAGAAAGUCUGGGUCAGCCACACACCUGAGAGAGAACAUCUGAGUCACCAUAUCACUUGAAGAAAAUCCAUGCAGGUGCAAGAGUCAACACAGCCCCAAGAUCUUUGAUCUAUGAGUUGCUUGUGGAGACGGAUAAGUGCUUUGGCCAACGGUCUGUGGAGGGGAAGAGGCUCAAAAUGACAACCAAAUCUGAACACAUGCGUCUGUGACUAUGGUGCCUCAAACAUUUAUGGCAAAUGGUGGUAGUUGUGUGCAGGACACACAGCUGGUGUAUCACAUUCUGUUGAGGAGCUUCAAGUUGGUGAGUCACAAACACAGCCGUCAUUCACCACCUCCAUGCUCUUUGUCCUUUUCCAUCAUAUUUCGUAUAUGAAUUUGAUUGGAUUCGCUGGGUUGUUGUCGUUUCUGCACAGACCAAAGAAGGACAUAUUUGUGAAAGCACAGCGUGGGGGAGGGCUAUAUUUAAAACCCCUUUCAUAGUCUCCAAACCCAGGUUAUUUUUCUGUGGCUGUGGACUGUUUGGGCUCUCUGCACAAUACACACUGAAAUG